CAAAGCCCGCGAACAGGAAUAUUCCAAGUUCAGACAGAAGGGGGGAGUCAGCUCGCUCUGAUCGCCAGGAACUUUACUUUUGGUGUCUAUUUUUAAUUGUCGCACUAUUGGUGCUGACUGUUGAUGUUAGGUAGGCAGCUACAGUAGCUGAAUGAUGUUAACAUCUUCGGGUUUUGUUUCAUUAAAUGCAUUUAAUUUCAUCUGGGUGCUUGCGUUACCUACUAACACCCUGGUACCCGUAGCUCCCGUUCUCCUCAGUCCGAGAAAACACUGAGAGAAAGAACAACUUGUCAGAUGGUGCAUUGGAGACUGAUGUGUUCCUGUUCUGUCUUUUCAUAAUACCAUUGCAGGUGGACUCCAAUCAAGUUGUAGGAACAUCUCAAGGAUGACCAAUGGAAACAGGAUGCACCUGAGCUCAAUUUCAAGUCUCAUAGCAAAGGGUCUGAACAAGGUACUUCAGAUUAUUUUUUUUUUGCCAACAUUUCUAAAAACCUGUUUUCGUUUUGUUAUUUUGGGGUAUUAUGUGUAAAUUGAUGAGGAUUUAGUUUUAUUUAAACAAUUUUAGAAUAAGGCUGUAAUGUAACAAAAUGUGGGAAAAGUCAAGGGGUCUGAAUACUUCCGGAAUGCACUGUGUCAUACUCUGCUUCCACCGGGCAUUCCACUGAUUUUAAAACUCUGUCCUUCAGCAAGACUUAUGCAGUUCUUCGUAAUUUGUUUCAAAAUAGCAUAGUUAGAAAGGAUUACCUACACAUCCUGAGCAGCUCAUGUUAUAGACAGAAGCGUGCAACAUGGGUUCCUUUCUUCCUGUCUUUUUCAGUGUCUAAACCAACUAGGCUCGUAUUAACAAUUUUAUUAGUAUUUACAGAUGGCAUACAAGUUUGUUGUUGAGGCACAUGAAAGUUCACAUUUUCCAGAAGGCAUUUCUGCCAAAAAAUGCAUUAUGCAAAAUAAAAUAUUGUUUACAUUCAAAUGCCUCUCCUGUAGAGUAGCGACGCAAGACAUACGCUUAGUUUCCUGAAAUGAGUAACAGUUGUCAAAAGUACAGAGAUGUGAUCAAUGUAUUCGUUCAUACAAGCACAAAUGACUCCAUCAGGUCAGAUCUAAUCCUGCUUGCCCAGUUCUGGCACCCGUAUCCAGACAGAGGUUUGGUGUUUGCAGGGAUGGUACAGUAAAUGGGGGGCCACCUCGUCCCCCAAAAGCCUACGGGGGGCACCGCUGAGACAUUUAAAUGCCAAACACUUUUCGGAGGGGGAAAUUUGCCAGGAGUCCAUGGUUUGGAGGGAUGGAGUCACACGUCACACAUUCUGUGGCAUGUCACAGAUCACAUCAGGCCCCAUUAAUUGUAUGUCUUUUCUCAACAUCCUAUAUACAAUUGUAGGUUAAUGAUUUCUUAACAGAUUAUUUGGGCCUGACAUUUAUAGCAUGCUAAAUGGGGUUUAGUAUAUGACUAACAAUCAAAUGUAAAGACACAGAUAUGCAAUUUGGUUGUAUUAUCCCUGUAUCAUUGUUGAGAACAGAGCAUUUAUUUAUUAAUGUGAUCAGCAGAUUCUUUUAACUCUUCUGCAAGCUGCUCUGUGGAUGUUGUUGGUUCAUCAGAUUCUGAUGACACUGUUACUCUGACACAAAGUCCUAGCAGAAACAGGAGAGCAGAGGAAGAUAGUGCAGCCAAAGUAAGCCUUUCAUUAUUUGCUUUGAUUGUCUUUUUUAUCAUUCAAAACUGUAUUGAUCUUCCUGAGGUUCCAUCUUUGUGAUGUUGGGUUGGCCUACUCCCGGUGAGUUACAUAGUAUGUAGGCUUUUUUCAGUCCUGCUCUUAUCGACUUAAAUCAUCUUGGAAGAUCCUAAUGUGCAGCUUAGUGAUAUAGCCACGUGUUGGAGCAGGGCUGAAAGCAAUGCUUGCACAGUAGCUCUCCAGGAGGAUGGCUGGCUAACACUGAGCUCUUUCUCAAUUUGUCUAUCCUUGUCUCCUUGUGUCCUUGUCUCAUCCUUCUGAAAACCAACUACGGAACAAUGAAUUAGGAGAUGAGCAUUGGGUCUUAUUAUCAAAUGUGAUUUGAGAAGCAGGCGAGGAAUCACAAAAACAUAUUUUGAGAAAGAACACUGGUGUACUAGGGUCUGUUUCUGUUGUGCCUUUUGUUAGAUUAUUGAGGACAUUCUCCAGUGAAAAGCUGGAGGGGAAAGGAUCAUGAACAAGUGUGCUCGGACAAAAAGCUUGACUGACCGCACCAGACGUAAUACGAUCAAUCUAGUCAUUAUUAUUAUUUUUGGUUCAUAGCAAGUCCCGCACGACAUGUGAAGGAAGCAUAUGCAAGAGGAAUAGUUUCCUUCUUUCCGUACCUGGCCGACCCCAAAAGCAAGACUGACUAUGCUGUGACAGUGACAUGUCGUCCAUUCUUCUUAUCAUCCAUCUUCUGCCUCCCUCCUCUCAAGGCCGCAACAAGCCGGGAAAGAUGUCAGCAAGACACGCAGCUGAACAUCUUGUGAAGUUCAUGAAGGUAAUGGCUUCCUGAAGUUCUCCAAGCAGCUGAUUGGUCAGCCCCAUUGCUGAUUGGAGAGCUGACCCCGCCCCCUCGUCAGGACGCAGCUGUCUCAAUUAACAACCCCAAUAUAAGCCAGUGUGCUGUUGCUCAGAGAAAGAGAGAGACACAGAGAUUUUUGCUGAGAGAGGAGGUUGAUGGCAGAGGGUUAUAUAUAUAUAUAUAUAUAUAUAUAUAUAUAUAUAUAUAUAUAUAUAUGUAUGUAUGUAUGUUGGUUGUUUCUCAGAAAGAGAAUUGGGUAUGUACUGAGUUAGUUGUUGCUGAGAAAGCUUAUUGUUAUGUUCUGUGUUUAGUGCUCAGAGUUUUCUUUAAUGUCCUGGGUUAGUGUUUUCUCAGGUUUUGUUGUAAAGUAGUUUGUACAUUUGUGUUACUCUGUUUCAUUUGUUCCCAGAGGGGAAGGGGAAGGCACCUAGGCAGUGCUUAGGCAAGAGGCCCGCGGGCAUACAUAUACCGUAGUAAUUUAUUGUCUAUGCACACUAGGAAAGACCUGGGCGGACCAUCCCCUGUAUUUUGGUUAGUGCACCAGGUGGUGCUAGUUAGGUAAGUAGUGGGUAGGCAGGUAAGGUAGGAGAGGGGGCUUUGAUAUUUAGUUUCUUUGCUUUGGUUCGGUCCAGCCCCUUUUCCCCAAACUUACCGCGUGAAGGAAUAAAUUCCCA
rnacentral:lncRNA from 1 species